GACGAACGCUGGCGGCGUGCUUAACACAUGCAAGUCGAACGAUGAAGCUAGAGCUUGCUCUGGUGAAUUAGUGGCGAACGGGUGAGUAACACGUGAGUAACCUGCCCCGAACUCUGGGAUAACUGCUGGAAACGGUAGCUAAUACUGGAUACGACCUACGAAGGCAUCUUCUGUAGGUGGAAAGAAUUUCGGUUCGGGAUGGACUCGCGGCCUAUCAGCUUGUUGGUGAGGUAAUGGCUCACCAAGGCGACGACGGGUAGCCGGCCUGAGAGGGUGACCGGCAACACUGGGACUGAGACACGGCCCAGACUCCUACGGGAGGGAGCAGUGGGGAAUAUUGCACAAUGGGCGCAAGCCUGAUGCAGCAACGCCGCGUGAGGGAUGACGGCCUUCGGGUUGUAAACCUCUUUUAGUAGGGAAGAAGCGAAAGUGACGGUACCUGCAGAAAAAGCACCGGCUAACUACGUGCCAGCCGCCGCGGUAA
rnacentral:rRNA from 1 species